AGAGUUUGAUCCUGGCUCAGGAUGAACGCUAGCGGCAGGCCUAACACAUGCAAGUCGAACGGUAAGGCCCCUUCGGGGGUACACGAGUGGCGCACGGGUGAGUAACGCGUAUGCAACCUACCUUUAACAGGGGUAUAGCUCCCGGAAACGGGAAUUAAUCCCCCAUAGUUCAUGACCACCGCAUGGUGGAUAUGAUAAAGCUCCGGCGGUUAAAGAUGGGCAUGCGUGACAUUAGAUAGUUGGUAAGGUAACGGCUUACCAAGUCUACGAUGUCUAGGGGGUCUGAGAGGAUGGUCCCCCACACUGGUACUGAGACACGGACCAGACUCCUACGGGAGGCAGCAGUGAGGAAUAUUGGGCAAUGGGCGAGAGCCUGACCCAGCCAUGCCGCGUGCAGGAUGACGGCCCUAUGGGUUGUAAACUGCUUUUGUACGGGAAGAAUAGGCUCUACGUGUAGAGAUUUGACGGUACCGUACGAAUAAGCACCGCUAAC
rnacentral:rRNA from 1 species